rnacentral:rRNA from 1 species
ACGGCAGCGCGGGAGCAAUCCUGGCGGCGAGUGGCGAACGGGUGAGUAAUAUAUCGGAACGUGCCCAGUAGUGGGGGAUAGCCCGGCGAAAGCCGGAUUAAUACCGCAUACGACCUGAGGGUGAAAGCGGGGGAUCGCAAGACCUCGCGCUACUGGAGCGGCCGAUAUCAGAUUAGCUAGUUGGUGGGGUAAAGGCCUACCAAGGCAACGAUCUGUAGUUGGUCUGAGAGGACGACCAGCCACACUGGGACUGAGACACGGCCCAGACUCCUACGGGAGGCAGCAGUGGGGAAUUUUGGACAAUGGGCGCAAGCCUGAUCCAGCAAUGCCGCGUGCAGGAAGAAGGCCUUCGGGUUGUAAACUGCUUUUGUCAGGGAAGAAAUCUUCUGGGCUAAUACCCCGGGAGGAUGACGGUACCUGAAGAAUAAGCACCGGCUAACUACGUGCCAGCAGCCGCGGUAAUACGUAGGGUGCGAGCGUUAAUCGGAAUUACUGGGCGUAAAGCGUGCGCAGGCGGCUUUGCAAGACAGAGGUGAAAUCCCCGGGCUCAACCUGGGAACUGCCUUUGUGACUGCAAGGCUAGAGUACGGCAGAGGGGGAUGGAAUUCCGCGUGUAGCAGUGAAAUGCGUAGAUAUGCGGAGG